rnacentral:rRNA from 1 species
UACGUAGGGACCAAGCGUUGUCCGGAAUCAUUGGGCGUAAAGAGCGUGUAGGCGGCUUGUUAAGUCUUGCGUGAAAUCUCGGGGCUCAACCCCGAGCGGUCGUGAGAAACUGGCAGGCUAGAGUGCGGGAGAGGAGAGUGGAAUUCCUGGUGUAGCGGUGAAAUGCGCAGAUAUCAGGAAGAACACCCGUGGCGAAGGCGGCUCUCUGGAACGCAACUGACGCUGAGACGCGAAGCGUGGGGAGCAAACAGG